AGAGUUUGAUCCUGGCUCAGGAUGAACGCUGGCGGCGUGCUUAACACAUGCAAGUCGAACGAAGCGUUUGAACAGAUUUCUUCGGAUUGAAGUUUUUGCGACUGAGUGGCGGACGGGUGAGUAACGCGUGGGUAACCUGCCUCAUACAGGGGGAUAACAGUUAGAAAUGACUGCUAAUACCGCAUAAGCGCACGGUGCUGCAUGGCACAGUGUGAAAAACUCCGGUGGUAUGAGAUGGACCCGCGUCUGAUUAGCUAGUUGGUGGGGGAACGGCCUACCAAGGCGACGAUCAGUAGCCGGCCUGAGAGGGUGAACGGCCACAUUGGGACUGAGACACGGCCCAAACUCCUACGGGAGGCAGCAGUGGGGAAUAUUGCACAAUGGGGGAAACCCUGAUGCAGCGACGCCGCGUGAGCGAAGAAGUAUUUCGGUAUGUAAAGCUCUAUCAGCAGGGAAGAAAUAGGACGGUACCUGACUAAGAAGCACCGGCUAAAUACGUGCCAGCAGCCGCGGUAAUACGUAUGGUGCAAGCGUUAUCCGGAUUUACUGGGUGUAAAGGGAGCGUAGACGGUUGUGUAAGUCCGAUGUGAAAGCCCGGGGCUCAACCCCGGGACUGCAUUGGAAACUAUGUAACUAGAGUGUCGGAGAGGUAAGCGGAAUUCCUAGUGUAGCGGUGAAAUGCGUAGAUAUUAGGAGGAACACCAGUGGCGAAGGCGGCUUACUGGACUGUAACUGACGUUGAGGCUCGAAAGCGUGGGGAGCAAACAGGAUUAGAUACCCUGGUAGUCCACGCCGUAAACGAUGAA
rnacentral:rRNA from 1 species